rnacentral:piRNA from 1 species
UCCAACCUUACUGUAUUUCAGAAUCCUGAC